rnacentral:lncRNA from 1 species
GGUAGAUCCCACCCAUCAUCCAGUGAAGCAAAAGAAAUAAAGCUUUGCCCCAGAGUGCCAAAAAGCCAUAGCUGAGAAAGUGGACAAGCUGCUCAAGACUGGCUUCAUCAAGGGGGUCAUGUACCCAGACUGACCGACGAAUGUUGUAUUGGUCAAGAAGUCGAACAAAAAGUGAUGCAUGAGCAUUGACUUCGUCAACCUAAACAAAGCCUG